AGGGCACCACCAGGAGUGGAGCCUGCGGCUUAAUUUGACUCAACACGGGAAAACUCACCCGGCCCGGACACUGAAAGGAUUGACAGAUUGAGAGCUCUUUCUUGAUUCAGUGGGUGGUGGUGCAUGGCCGUUCUUAGUUGGUGGAGCGAUUUGUCUGGUUAAUUCCGAUAACGAACGAGACUCUAGCCUACUAAAUAGAUCGCCGGUUUACAAACACCGGUGAGACUUCUUAGAGGGACAGGCGGCGAUUCAGCCGCACGAAACAGAGCAAUAACAGGUCUGUGAUGCCCUUAGAUGUCCGGGGCCGCACGCGCGCUACACUGAAGUGAUCAGCGUGCAUUUUAAGUCUACUCUGCCAAGAGUGGGAAACCCAAUGAACCUUCUUCGUGAUUGGGAUAGGGGAUUGUAAUUAUUCCCCUUGAACGAGGAAUUCCCAGUAAGCGCGAGUCAUAAGCUCGCGUUGAUUACGUCCCUGCCCUUUGUACACACCGCCCGUCGCUACUACCGAUUGAAUGUUUU
rnacentral:rRNA from 1 species